rnacentral:rRNA from 1 species
UACCAACCCUCCGAGUGGUAGGGAUGAUUACUUGGCUUAAAGCGUCCGUAGCUGGCUUGAAAAGUCUUCCGUUAAAUCCAGCGUCUAAGCGUUGGAAAGCGGAAGAUACUAUUAAGCUAGGAGGCGGAAGAGGCCGACGGUAUUUCUAGGGGAGGGGUGAAAUCCUAUAAUCCUAGGAGGACCACCAGUGGCGAAGGCGGUCGGCCAGAACGCACUCGACGAUGAGGGACGAAAGCUGGGGGAGCGAACCGGAUUAGAUACCCGGGUAGUCCCAGCAGUAAACUAUGCAGGCUAGGUGUUGGGGCGGCUACGAGCCGCUUCAGUGCCGCAGGAAACCGUUAAGCUUGCCGCCUGGGGAGUACGACCGCAAGGUUGAAACUUAAAGGAAUUGGGCGGGGGAGCACUACAAGGGGUGAAGGCUGCGGUUU